UAAACAUUGACAGUAACUACACCCACUGUCCGCCUGGGAACUACGAGCACCAGCUUAAAACCCAAAGGACUUGGCGGUGCUUAAGACCCACCUAGAGGAGCCUGUCCUAGAACCGAUAAUCCCCGUUAAACCUCACCCUUCCUUGUUCUUUUCAGCCUAUAUACCACCGUCGUCAGUUCACCUUGUGAAGGCCCAAUAGUAAGCGUAAUCGGCAUAGCCCCAAACGUCAGGUCGAGGUGUAGCCUAUGGAAGGGGAAGAGAUGGGCUACAUUCACUGAUACAGUGAAUACGGAUGAUCACCCUGAAACGGGUAUCUGAAGGAGGAUUUAGCAGUAAGCAAAACAUAGAGUGUUUUGCUGAAGUUGGC
rnacentral:rRNA from 1 species